rnacentral:rRNA from 1 species
GGCUUAAAGUUUGAUCAUGGCUCAGGAUAAACGCUGGCGGCGCACAUAAGACAUGCAAGUCGAACGGACUUAACUCGAAGUUUACUUUGAGAGCGGUUAGUGGCGGACUGGUGAGUAACACGUAAGCAACCUGCCUAUCAGGGGGGAAUAACAGUGAGAAAUCAUUGCUAAUACCGCAUAUGCUUACACUAUCGCAUGAUAGAGUAAGGAAAGGAGCAAUCUGCUGAUAGAUGGGCUUGCGUCUGAUUAGCUAGUUGGUGAGGUAACGGCUUACCAAGGCGACGAUCAGUAGCCGGACUGAGAGGUUGAACGGCCACAUUGGGACUGAGAUACGGCCCAGACUCCUACGGGAGGCAGCAGUCGGGAAUAUUGCGCAAUGGAGGAAACUCUGACGCAGUGACGCCGCGUAUAGGAAGAAGGUUUUCGGAUUGUAAACUAUUGUCGUUAGGGAAGAUACAAGACAGUACCUAAGGAGGAAGCACCGGCUAACUAUGUGCCAGCAGCCGCGGUAAUACAUAGGGAAGCC